AGAUGCCACGCAGUGGGACUGAACCCGGGACCAUGUGGUUGAUUUCAUAAUCAAAUGCUGUUAUAUAUUAUUCUUAUCAUGUAAUACAUGAAGAUAUUACUCUCAGUAACCCACAAUUGCUGUUAAAAAUAGAGGAGGUUCAUCAUUUCUUCUGCAUUGAUACCAAACAACAAGAACUGCAGCUUCAUUAGAUACUUUUAAUAGUGAUAAGCAUUUGUCUACCCAUCAAAGCAGAUGAAUUAAGAAGUCUGCUUGAAUGAGGGACUGUUCUAUAGUUCAAAAGCAUGCAGCUCAAAAUUUACUAGACACCUGCUUCACUCCUUCAGCCAAAAUGAAUGGACUCAGUUCUAUAAAUAUUGAAUACUGUAUGAAGAUCGUUGCAACCAAAUCAAAAGGGUCUUCAAUUUGUGAUUUUACUUUAGGCUGAAGGCCCAGAGACCCCUUGUGGAAGCUUAACUAAAAGUCUACCUGAAUGGCAGCUUUUUGGCUAAUGAUAAAUAACACCCAUGCCAGCAAGGAAAACAAACGUUAAACAAAGAUGAUGAUGAGUAAUACACUACAGGUAGUCAAAUCAACUAUACCAUUCUCUUUAAAAAUCAGGCUUUGUA
rnacentral:lncRNA from 1 species